rnacentral:pre_miRNA from 1 species
AACCUACUCCCUCCGUUCGGAAUUACUUGUCUCGGAAAUGGAUGUAUCUAGAACUAAAAUACGUCUAGAUACAUCCAUUUCUACGACAAGUAAUUCCGAACGGAGGGAGUAGACC